rnacentral:rRNA from 1 species
AACGAACGCUGGCGGCAGGCCUAACACAUGCAAGUCGAGCGAGGACUUCGGUUCUAGCGGCGGACGGGGGAGUAACGCGUGGGAAUGUGCCCUUCUCUACGGAAUAGCCCUGGGAAACUGGGAGUAAUACCGUAUACGCCCUAUUGGGGAAAGAUUUAUCGGAGAAGGAUCAGCCCGCGUUGGAUUAGGUAGUUGGUGGGGUAAUGGCCUACCAAGCCGACGAUCCAUAGCUGGUUUGAGAGGCUGAUCAGCCACACUGGGACUGAGACACGGCCCAGACUCCUACGGGAGGCAGCAGUGGGGAAUCUUAGACAAUGGGGGCAACCCUGAUCUAGCCAUGCCGCGUGAGUGAUGAAGGCCUUAGGGUUGUAAAGCUCUUUCAGCUGGGAAGAUAAUGACGGUACCAGCAGAAGAAGCCCCGGCUAACUCCGUG